rnacentral:rRNA from 1 species
GGUUAAGCGAAUAAGCGUACACGGUGGAUGCCUAGGCAGUCAGAGGCGAUGAAGGACGUGCUAAUCUGCGAUAAGCGCCGGUAAGGUGAUAUGAACCGUUAUAACCGGCGAUUUCCGAAUGGGGAAACCCAGUGUGAUUCGUCACACUAUCAUUACCUGAAUACAUAGGGUAAUGAAGCGAACCGGGAGAACUGAAACAUCUAAGUACCCCGAGGAAAAGAAAUCAAACGAGAUUCCCCCAGUAGCGGCGAGCGAACGGGGAGCAGCCCAGGACCUUAAUCAGCAUCAGUGUUAAGAGAACAGUCUGGAAAGGCUGGCCACAGCAGGUGAUAGCCCUGUAUCUGAAAGCACUGGUGUUGUGAGUCCGAUGAGUAAGGCGGGACACGUGUUAUCCUGUCUGAAUACGGGGGGACCAUCCUCCAAGGCUAAAUACUCCUGACUGACCGAUAGUGAACCAGUACCGUGAGGGAAAGGCGAAAAGAACCCCGGCGAGGGGAGUGAAAAAGAACCUGAAACCGUGUACGUACAAGCAGUGGGAGCACCUUUAUGGUGUGACUGCGUACCUUUUGUAUAAUGGGUCAGCGACUUAUAUUCUGUAGCAAGGUUAACCGAAUAGGGGAGCCGCAGGGAAACCGAGUCUUAACUGGGCGAAUUAGUUGCAGGGUAUAGACCCGAAACCCGGUGAUCUAGCCAUGGGCAGGUUGAAGGUUGGGUAACACUAACUGGAGGACCGAACCGACUAAUGUUGAAAAAUUAGCGGAUGACUUGUGGCUGGGGGUGAAAGGCCAAUCAAACCGGGAGAUAGCUGGUUCUCCCCGAAAGCU